rnacentral:rRNA from 1 species
CUGACCGUAAACGAUGCCAACUAGCGAUCCGCCGGUGGAUUCCUUGCCCUGGCGGGUACCUUCCCGGAAACGAAAGUCUUCCGGUUCCGGGGGAAGUAUGGUUGCAAAGCUGAAACUUAAAGGAAUUGACGGAAGGGCACCACCAGGAGUGGAGCCUGCGGCUUAAUUUGACUCAACACGGGGAAACUCACCCGGCCCGGACACCGUAAGGAUUGACAGAUUGAUAGCUUUUUCAUGAUUCGGUGGAUGGUGGUGCAUGGCCGUUCUUAGUUCGUGGAGCGAUUUGUCUGGUUUAUUCCGAUAACGAGCGAGACUCUAGCCUACUAAAUAGUUCGCACAUUGUCUCUGUGUGUGUGACUUCUUAGAGGGAUUUUCGGUGUUCAGCCGCACGAAAUUGAGCAAUAACAGGUCUGUGAUGCCCUUAGAUGUCCGGGGCUGCACGCGCGCUACACUGGCAAAAUCAGCGUGCUUGUCCUUCCCCGAAAGGGGUUGGUAAACCCUUGAAAAUUUGCCGUGAUUGGGAUUGGAAAUUGCCAAUUAUUUUCCAUGAACGAGGAAUUCCAAGUAAGUGCGAGUCAUCAGCUCGCGUUG